rnacentral:rRNA from 1 species
UAGUACGGCGAGCGAAGCGGGAAGAGCUCAAAUUUGAAAUCUGGUGGCCUCAGGUCAUCCGAGUUGUAAUCUAUAGAAGUGUUUUCCGUGCUGGCCCAUGUACAAGUCCCUUGGAACAGGGCGUCAUAGAGGGUGAGAAUCCCGUCCUUGACAUGGACUACCAGUGCUCUGUGAUACACUUUCAACGAGUCGAGUUGUUUGGGAAUGCAGCUCAAAAUGGGUGGUAAAUUCCAUCUAAAGCUAAAUAUUGGCGAGAGACCGAUAGCGAACAAGUACCGUGAGGGAAAGAUGAAAAGCACUUUGGAAAGAGAGUUAAACAGUAUGUGAAAUUGUUGAAAGGGAAACGAUUGAAGUCAGUCGUGCUCAAUGGACUCAGCCGUUCUGCGGUGUAUUUCCAUUGGGUGGGGUCAACAUCAGUUUUGAUCGCUGGAUAAAGGCAGGAGGAAUGUAGCACCCCCGGGUGAACUUAUAGCCUCUUGUCACAUACAGUGGUUGGGACUGAGGAACGCAGCAUGCCUUUAUGGCCGGGAUUCGUCCACGUACAUGCUUAGGAUGUUGACAUAAUGGCUUUAAACGACCCGUCUUGA